rnacentral:rRNA from 1 species
AUUGAACGCUGGCGGCAGGCCUAACACAUGCCAGUCGAGCGGAUGAAGGGAGCUUGCUCCUGGAUUCAGCGGCGGACGGGUGAGUAAUGCCUAGGAAUCUGCCUGGUAGUGGGGGAUAACGUCCGGAAACGGGCGCUAAUACCGCAUACGUCCUGAGGGAGAAAGUGGGGGAUCUUCGGACCUCACGCUAUCAGAUGAGCCUAGGUCGGAUUAGCUAGUUGGUGGGGUAAAGGCCUACCAAGGCGACGAUCCGUAACUGGUCUGAGAGGAUGAUCAGUCACACUGGAGCUGAGACACGGUCCAGACUCCUACGGGAGGCAGCAGUGGGGAAUAUUGGACAAUGGGCGAAAGCCUGAUCCAGCCAUGCCGCGUGUGUGAAGAAGGUCUUCGGAUUGUAAAGCACUUUAAGUUGGGAGGAAGGGCAGUAAGUUAAUACCUUGCUGUUUUGACGUUACCAACAGAAUAAGCACCGGCUAACUUCGUG